AUGUUUGGUGUAGAAGAGUGCUUUUAAUGUAUAUAUACACAUGCAGUAACCUUUUCCAUCUAAGUUGGGGAAGUAUAUCUGUUGUCCCACAAUGAGUGUCACACCAUGUGCAUGACAUAGAUUUAAUAUAUAUACUUCAUAUUAUAAGUGUUUUUUUACACUAUGAAUAAAUCAUACUUACUAUUCAUAUGCUAAUUAUUAUGACUCACACACAAAAGUAAUACAAAUUAAUUAUAAAUAAUGCAUAAAUUUUAAAUUCUAUUAUUAUUCAUUAGAUGCGGUUUUAAAGUGGCCACGCAGCAUAAUUCGAAACAUAAGAGAAAUGUUAAAUAAAAAUCCAGCCAAGCAGUAGUUUGAAGUCAACAAAACCAAACUGAUAUUUCCCAAGUUAACUAUAUUACAAAAACAAUCAACGGACGAGGUAUAAUCCUUGCUUGUGGGACCCACCUACAAUAUUAUCUUAACCGUUGAUUCUUUGCAGUAACACACUUUUCCUUCAUCUCCACUUUUAUUUCUUCUGAACUUGUUUUAUUUCAUCUUCUCUGCUCCUCACUGGUUCACACUUUCGCCUAUUUCGAUUUUCCACGUCUCUAUUUUUUUGAAGGUAACUUCGAAUGAAUCUCUUCCUUGUUUUCAAAUGAAUCGCUAAUCAUUGACUUUGUUGUUUCGUGAAUUCCGUUGAAGUUCGAUUUGCUGCUCUUCGCUGAAUUCAAUUUCAAUCAAGCAUUUUCGAUUUCGAUUUCGCACCAAAAAUACAUUUAUUGAUCUUAUUCUAGUAAUUUCUAUAUCAAUUAGGAUUCAACUUUAUUUAUGUAAAGUGUUGGAUGCUUAUGAUCUAGUUUUAUUCAUUUGUAUGUAUCUGCAUGUUAGGUUUUUUUAGAUGAAGGCUUAUAUUUUGUCUCACUUUCGAUUUGAAAGUUUAUUUUGCUUAACCAAGUUUCUGUGGUGGAAAUAGUGGUGUGUUGUUGUGGUGGAGAAAGUGAAUCAGUGAUGAUGCCUAGUGAUAUUGUACAAGCAUGUCAUCAGGGUGAGGGGGUGGAUGGUCAGGUAAUGCAUGGUUACCAAUCAGCCUGGAUGGCUCAUUGGAAGCACACAAACUAUAAGUCAGCAGCAACACCGGCAGCUCGCAAUCGAUUAUUAAACAGUUUCGUGGUUAAAGAAAUCGAAGAAGACAAUGAUGAUGAGCAGCGUGAUUUGAUUCGCGAUUGUGGGCCAGAGGUUGCUAUAGAUGGUUCUGUGCAUGCUGGAGCAACCAGAGAAGCAGAUAGGGAUACAAGGAUUACCUUCAGCGAUGGGGUGAACCCUGGAAAAUCAAAGAAUGCAAGUUUAGGUUCAAAAUCAUUUCCUAUCUUCAGAAAGAAGACUGAUGGAAUUUCUUCUAUGAAGAGGGAACAGAAUGGUGUUUCCCGCCGGAGAUAUCGAAAAUCUGAAACUGAAGCAAGCUCUGGAGAAGACGAUGUUUCUAUAUACAGAACUGGGAGUCACCUACCAUCAACAUCUUCACAUGCUCCUCUUAGAACAGCAACUUCAGUAAGAGAGAACCAAUCAUCGUCUACAGGAAUUUCAGCAGCGCCUUUGUUGAUGAAAUCUCUGUACAGUGUUGAACAGAACAACCUUGUUUCAACAUCACUAUGGAAUGGCUUUGUGAAAUCAGCUUCUGACAAAGUGCCAAAUGGAAACGACAAAGGAAAAACCUUGGUGUCUCCUUCCACACGUGGACAAGAUAAAAUGUAUCAAUCAAGCUACAAGUUAGCAUCUCAAGAGCAUUUCACACGUACUAAAUAUCAUAGCUAUUCUCUUUUAAUCCGCGAGAAGAAAAAGAGUAGCCUGUUAGACCCUCGAAGAUCUUCUUUCCCAAGAUGGUUUCAGGGCGGCGAUGCUCAUUUACAGCUUGAUCCCAUAGCAGGCAGUGGUGAUGGAUAUUCUACUGCUAAUGUGGAGACUACGAAGUUAUACACUAGUUUAGACUCAGUGGAAGAGUCAUCAAGAGAUUAUCCCAAAAUAUCCCUGACAACUCGCCAUUUUCUGAUGUCAAAAAAGGCUGAUGCUAAUUUAUCUGCCCGAGGCCAGUUCUUUAGAGAGUCAAUAGCACCUAUCAAAUUCAAAGGAAAUGCUUUCAAUGAGAUGGAACAUUCCUCUCCAUCCACGAGUGACCAUGAUUUGGAAGGUAUGAAGCUGGAAACUCUAGGGAGCUCAAAAAAGAGUGAAGGAAAGGAAAAUAUCCAAGAUUUCAAUAGUCCAACAAACCUGAAGAAUGAGUCAUCUGCUGAAACUGAUACUAUGGACAUAUAUGCUUUACACAGGAAUCUCUUUCCUGGUAUGUAUGCACACUUUCAUAGCACAUACCAUAUCAUGCUAUUCUUGAAGCCUUGUAUUAUAGCUUUGAUGCUCUUUUCUAGCUGAAUUUCUGAAACCUGUUCUUGUUUGUUGCAGGUAUUGUUCCAUUUCGAACAAAUAAGGUAAUGUGUUUCGUGCUUGAUCUUUUUGAUACCAUGCCAUUUAAUUUUUUAUCACCACUAUCUUGGUUAAGCAUUUAAAUGAUUGGCAAAGGUUCACCUUAUAAGUGAGCAUGUAAGGGUGCAUCUGCCCUUACAUGAUCAUUUAGUGGGUUGAGACCCCUAGUAGAUGCAUUCUUAAUUGCUUACUUUAGAAACAAAUCUACUCCAGAGGAUCUUUAUCCUAUAAAUGAUUUGCAUUGUAACCUGGUUUUUGACUAGUCCGGCUUUGGGGCAAAUAAUUGGUUCUUAAACUUAAUAACCAUAUCAAAUCUGAGAGUUUUCUUGCAGCAAUCAUAUUGCAUUUUUCUCUAUGCUUGGAUUACUUAAGCAGGUCGCCUAGGGCAUUGGUUAACAUGACCCAUUAUUUAUAAUAGUAGCAAUGAUAUUAUUGCCCAUGGUUAAAUCUGAUACUAUUGUAAACUUUUUAGAUGUUAAUCAGGUAAAAUAUAUCAAAACUUGAAUUUUGUAGUGCUCCGAGGAUAGUCAUAGCUCGCCUACGUCUCAAGUUGCAAUUACUUCAACUGUAGAGGAAAACAAAGGAAAAUUGGUGUAUAUAGCAGUACCAGAUAUAAACCAAGAAUCUCCAAAAGUUCUCACUAUGGCUAGUCCACUGGUUGACAGGGAGACCAGCACAUCAAGAACACACAGCCUCGACGUGGAGCACCUCCUUUCUCACGCAGAUGAUCAUGCAAGAUCAAAAUCUGGCACUAGUUCUUUGGGACCAGAUCCUAGUAGCAGAUGGGCAAAACGAUUCAAGUUAUGCUUGUCAAGUUCUGCUCACGGUACCAAUAGUGCAACAAUUGGAGAAACUUCUUCGCAUGAACAAGUAAACAAUAUUUUCAGAAAAAUGAAAGGUAGAAAAACAAGCUUGGAACCGAAAAUGGCAUGUCAAAUCGAAGAGCAGAUGGUGCCAGACCUAUGUGCAACAACAUUAACAAAUAACAAGUCUUCUACUGAAGAGAACAAAACUGCAGAAAUUACACUUUCACAUCCGUGGAUCCGAAGGUGGUAUCAUAAUCAAGAUGUAUGUCCCCAAAAGAGGCAUGAAUUAUCAGAGUUUCAUGAACCUUCUUCAAACACUCCGGAAGAGUUCCAAAAGAAACAGUGUCCAAGUAUUGCUGCCAUGGCAAUGAUGGGAAAGGCAAUGAAGUGUUUGAAUCCAUGUGAGCUUAUGGAAAAGGGGCCUGUAGUAGUUUGGAAUAUGAAGGGAUUUUGAAAUUGCUUGCCAUCAGUGAUAUAAAUUUGUCGUGAAGUUUAUGGUGUGAUAUCUAUGGGGUUAGUUUGAGAGGAAUGCAGAGAAGUCAGAAAUGAUCACCAUCUCAUAUGCCACUAUCACUACCUUGUUCUCCUCAGGUUUGGAUUAAUUGAGUCAAAAUGUAAACAGUGCAUGCAUCUAAAGAUAGCAUGUUUGGUGUAGAAGAGUGCUUUUAAUGUAUAUAUACACAUGCAGUAACCUUUUCCAUCUAAGUUGGGGAAGUAUAUCUGUUGUCCCACAAUGAGUGUCACACCAUGUGCAUGACUUUGUGAUUGGUUGAAAAAUAUAUAUUUAAAUUAAAAUUUAAUUUUUAAGUAUUUUUUUGACCAAUCACAAGGUGAUGGUAUAUGGAGUGACACUCAUUGUAGGACAGCAGAUGUGGGGAAAAUGGCUCGAGAGUGAUUGUAUCUUGUCUUACCACCAGCGUCAUAUUGCCAAAUGCCAAGCUAUGCCUACAUUAAGUGUUAGUCUUAAGGUUUCAUAGAAUAUCAUGUUGAAGGAGUUUCAUAUACAAUAGGACCUUUUGGGGGUGAAUUUUUCAUUCGUGAGCAAUAGCUUCCUCUAUGUGGUGAUGUUCUACAGCUUUUUUGAGAUUAAAGC
rnacentral:lncRNA from 1 species